UACGUAGGCAGCAAGCGUUGUUCGAAGUUACUGGACGUAAAGAGUGCGUAGGCGGUCCUGUAAGUUUGGUGUGAAAUCUCCCAGCUCAACUGGGAGGGUGCGCCGAAGACUGCAGGGCUUGAGUAUGGAAGAGGUAAGCGGAAUUCCUGGUGUAGCAGUGAAAUGCGUAGAUAUCAAAAGGAACACCUGUAGUAUAAACAGCUUACUAGACCAUAACUGACGCUGAGGCACGAAAGCGUGGGUAGCAAACAGG
rnacentral:rRNA from 1 species